rnacentral:lncRNA from 1 species
CUAAGAGUCGUUCGCGCCGUCGACUAUCACGAAGGAGAAGACAACCUUGAGGAGGACUUGGCCGAUGUCGUCUUCAUCCAGCUUGCUACGAUGUUUCCUAGUUUGCGAAUACUUGACAUCCUCGAGUGGCGCCGCUUCCCGGCGUUCCCGACCUUGCGGUACAGAUUCUCGGAAUCAACAGGUACUUCACUCUCCUCCCCAUCCUACUCCUCUAGAAAAGGUGCACGAANNNNNNNNNNCCGAGUGGCGCCGCUUCCCGACGUUCCCGACCUUGCGGUACAGAUUCUCGGAAUCAACACGUACUUCACUCUCCUCCCCAUCCUACUCCUCUAGAAAAGGUGCACGAAUUGAGAAUCCCCAACAGGAUCAGAUCGGUAUACUAGCAAGCUAUUGUUCGUGAUAGUAUUGUCCUAUGCAAUUGUAAUAUUCUGUUUUGUAGUUUGUUACUUUGGAUCUAUGUGUGGUGAAGUACCUGCUUAAUUUCCCCUAUUUUCUUAAAUGAUUCUUGUGGUCUGAUAUGGAUGCGUGCGUGAUGUUCCAUGGUACAUU